CUAAUACAUGCAGUCAACGGAAUCUUCGGAUUUUAGUGGCGAACGGCGGUACUGAAGUUAACACAUUAAGUACUCCGCCUGAGUAGUACGUACGCAAGUAUGAAACUUAAAGGAAUUGACGGGACUCCGCACAAGCGGUGGAUCAUGUUGUUUAAUUCGAAGAUACACGAAAAACCUUACCAGGUCUUGACAUACUCUGCAAAGCUAUAGCAAUAUAGUGGAGGUUAUCAGGGAUACAGGUGGUGCAUGGUUGUCGUCAGCUCGUGUCGUGAGAUGUUAGGUUAAGUCCUAAAACGAGCGCAACCCUUAUCGUUAGUUACCAGCAUGUUAUGAUGGGUACUUUAACGAAACUGCCAAUGAAAAAUUGGAGGAAGGUGAGGAUCACGUCAAAUCAUCAUGCCCCUUAUGAUCUGGGCUACAAACGUGAUACAAUGGCUGUUACAAAGAGUAGCUAAAACGCGAGUUUAUGCCAAUCUCAAAAAAACAGUCUCAGUUCGGAUUGAAGUCUGCAACUCGACUUCAUGAAGUUGGAAUCGCUAGUAAUCGCGAAUCAGCAUGUCGCGGUGAAUACGUUCUCGGGGUUUGUACACACCGCCCGUCAAACCACGAAAAUCGGUAAUACUCGAAAGCGGUGGCCUAACUUCUUCGGAAGAGGGAACCGUCUAAGGUAGGAUGA
rnacentral:rRNA from 1 species